rnacentral:rRNA from 1 species
GUCUACAGCCAUGCCACCCUGAACAAGCCCGAUCCCAUCUGAUCUCAGAAGCUAAGCAGGGUUGGGCCUGGUUAGUACUUGGAUGGGAGACCACCUAGGAAGACCAGGUGCUGUAGGCA